UAGAGUAGGUGUGGCCCUGUUAGAGUAGGUGUGGCCCUGUUAGAGUAGGUGUGGCCCUGUUAGAGUAGGUGUGGCCCUGUUAGAGUAGGUGUGGCCCUGUUAGAGUAGGUGUGGCCCUGUUAGAGUAGAUGUGGCCCUGUUAGAGUAGGGUGGUC